UAAGCAUAUCAAUAAGCGGAGGAAAAGAAACCAACAGGGAUUGCCCUAGUAACGGCGAGUGAAGCGGCAACAGCUCAAAUUUGAAAUCUGGCUUCGGCCCGAGUUGUAAUUUGCAGAGGAAGCUUUGGGCGCGGUACCAACUGAGUCCCCUGGAACGGGGCGCCACAGAGGGUGAGAGCCCCGUAUAGUUGGACGCCUAGCCUGUGUAAAGCUCCUUCGACGAGUCGAGUAGUUUGGGAAUGCUGCUCAAAAUGGGAGGUAAAUUUCUUCUAAAGCUAAAUACCGGCCAGAGACCGAUAGCGCACAAGUAGAGUGAUCGAAAGAUGAAAAGCACUUUGAAAAGAGGGUUAAAUAGCACGUGAAAUUGUUGAAAGGGAAGCGCUUGUGACCAGACUUGCGCCCGGCUGAUCAUCCGGUGUUCUCACCGGUGCACUCUGCCGGGCUCAGGCCAGCAUCGGUUCUCGUGGGGGGAUAAAGGUCCUGGGAACGUAGCUCCUCCGGGAGUGUUAUAGCCCAGGGCGUCAUGCCCCCGCGGGGACCGAGGACCGCGCUCUGCAAGGAUGCUGGCGUAAUGGUCAUCAGCGACCCGUCUUGAAACACGGACCAAGGAGUCAAGGUUUUGCGCGAGUGUUUGGGUGUAAAACCCGCACGCGUAAUGAAAGUGAACGUAGGUGAGAGCUUCGGCGCAUCAUCGACCGAUCCUGAUGUUUUCGGAUGGAUUUGAGUAGGAGCGUUAAGCCUUGGACCCGAAAGAUGGUGAACUAUGCUUGGAUAGGGUGAAGCCAGAGGAAACUCUGGUGGAGGCUCGCAGCGGUUCUGACGUGCAAAUCGAUCGUCAAAUCUGAGCAUGGGGGCGAAAGACUAAUCGAACCAUCUAGUAGCUGGUUACCGCCGAA
rnacentral:rRNA from 1 species